rnacentral:lncRNA from 1 species
GCUGGUUUGGAUAAGGAAGUCUUGGAAGUGGUGAUCUUAAUAGUGGCGUUAAAUAGAUUUAACAGCAAGAACCAGGGCCGGUGUAUGUGAGGAAUACAGUAGUUUUCCAGAACAAAAAGUUCAACAUUAGAAGAAUCCUGACAUAUUAUCCCCUGAUGUGUUACCUGAACUUAUUCCUUCUCCAGGCUUGACUCCAGCUAGAGAAUGGUUCUUAUAGUAGAUAAUUAGGGAGUAUGCUUGUAUCUGAAUCAAAAAUCAGAUUAUUACAAAUUAACAACAAUAAUUUGCAAUGCAAAUACAAUUCAUUUAUAAUAUGAAAUCAGCAAGAAAUGUAAUUAAAACAACAUUAACUUAUAUGUUCCAAAUAUUAUUUUAUAAUGCAAUGUUAUGACCAAAUAUUCUAUUUUUUUAAAUAUAGUGCUUUCUAUUGGAUGGAUGUAGCAUGAAUAGAGUAUGACUUAGAAUUAAGGGUGCAUGUAAUUGUUUGGAUUAGAAUCCUUAUGUACACACAAAAAAAAAAAAAAAAACAAGGAAAAAGAAUGUCCCUAUGAAGACUAUUCCAGUACCAGUACCAUCUGAUUCCAAGAUAUACAUUUUCUAGUAAAGAGAACAAACAAGCAAACUUGCACUCUAUUCUGACUACAGAUUAAUGGGGACAAAAUGUGUUGAAGUAAGUUUACAAACGUUACUUGUUUUCGCAAGCAAAUCAAGAAUUGGGAUGAAUACGUGAAAAAACUACCUUGCUACAAAGAAAAUAGAGAGAAAAAGUAAUGACAUCACGUUUCCUGGCGACCGGAUUGUCUGGGCCAAACAAAACUAGGACAGUGUUGGAUGGUUGCUAGUAAUGCAGAUUAGUGGAUCGUACCAACUACAGUAAGCCUAGUGUUGGUAGCCAUGGGAUUGCUGAAUUUAUUUGCAAUUUUUAAAUUCUUUGGUGGCCUUAAUGAGAAGGCACUGCAAAAAGGGGAAAACCACCUGAAGUCAAACCAUGUUGAGGGUUGCCGUUACGCCGAUGGGUUAAUUGAAGGACGUGUGCAUGCCAGUAUGAAGAACAAGGUGUAUGAUGUUAAGAUACAAAUUGAAGGUACAGCCAAAAAUACAAAAAUCCUGUCAACAUCGUGCAAAUGUGCAAUUGGUCGGGUUCGCAUGCUGCGACAUUGGCUUUGUGGGCGCAAAACAAUAUUUCGUGAACAGACAUACCAUGUGAAUGGAACAAACCAAUGGGGAAAGCGGAGACAACAAAAAGCAUUCAGGAGAUGUAUCCUGCUGGGAAGGUAUACACACUGCUGCAACGACCCACUAAUUCUGAUGACAAAAAGGCUAUGGUGUCCGGACUCAAAUAUUGUGGCAUGUUUACAACCCUCUACUGGAUGCUACUUCCCGAGACAAUCAAAGAAACCGUAAACCUUCCUAUCCAAACUGUACGGGAACUAAUUGAAAAUUUUCCAGUGGCAAAUGUUGUCGUAGAGUUGGCAGAAUUCCUGAAGAGAGCCAUCCAUCCGUAAACUUCGAUGUGCUAUAAUCCUCCGAUGUCACUCACCCACCGUUACAUUUAUAUUCAUAAAACUACCGUAACUAUAUGGGGUUUUAUAUUUGAUUUAAAGUUUAAAAAUAACUAAACUAUAAUUAAUAAUUAUUAAAAUAAUUCAGCACAGUCCUGAUACCUUAGUGCAGUAAUGGCGAGCCCACCACCACAACUCACCCCAUACGGUUCAGUGGAAGUGAGCCAUACAUCGACAGGUCACCUAACUCCACUCCAAAUGGCAGGGUUUGACCCACCAUCAUCUACACCAACAAUGUCUGAGAAAUCUAGCCAAUCUAAACCGACACCAACACCCCGACCAUAUUCACAACUGAGUUUUCCUGAUGUCGAAACCAAACCAAUUCUGCCAAGCUCCAAUGUCAUAACAACCCACCAGACUAAACAGGUUGCGACGUUUUCCGGGCGCAACAACAGCCACCAAGUCGAGGAUUGGAUACGGGAUAUGCGAUUCCUAAUCGAAUCGAAGCUAUCGGAUAGUGCUGGCUACGGAGAGGUUAUUCGACACACACAGGGGAGGGCCCGAGAUCUGGUAUUGAAUUUAGAGGCCAGGGGCGAUGUCGGAAAAACAGCGUCAACAGCCUUGGAGAAGCUGAUGUUGGAAUAUGGUGAAGCAAACCCUACACUGUCACCAAUAACAAACUUUUAUGCUUGCGUUCAGAGGCGUGGAGAGAGUGCAAGCUAAUAUGCUAUCACCUUGGAAGCCAUGCUUAGGAAAGCUCAAAAGAUAAAACCCAUGGAGGGCAGUGAUAGGAUGCUUUCAUCUUAGUUUAUGCUUGCCCCAAUGAAAUCACGUGACAUGCCAUUUACUCAACUUAGACGGGAGCUUCGGAUCGUGGCAGAGGAAAGUAAUCAAGCAGAGAGGAGGGCAUUCUCGAUGAACCAGAUAUCAAGGACACUUCAUCCCAGAUUGACAAACUAAAAGAGGCCCUAGAUAAACAGUUAGAGGCUACUAAAAGCCUUAUCGAGUCGCACCAGAGCCUGUCAGAGCGGCUCCAUCGAAUCAAAAUUUCUGGGCCACGUGGUUUUACCAAUGAGAUAGCUCAACCACAGAGAGGACAGUGGACCACAGCAUCACAACACCAACCGAUAAAUCCACCUCAACAUCAACCACAGUCACGUUUCAACCAGCCAAAAGGGAAGCUGCUCCAGUGUCACAUCUCUCGAUACUGUCCACUACCAAACCGUCCUUUAAACUAGUUUCGCCUGCUGUUAAGGGGCAACCAGUGGGUGCGAUAGAGAAGAUCCCGUUUGUUGUAGAUAGUGAAGUUUUGAUCUGACUGACGAUGAAAUGGAAUGUGACGAAAAGACGGAAAAGAUUAAUUCCAUACCCAUUAUUCCACCGCCUAUCGAAUGUGAAUCAGACAUGUCAGUCAACAGUCCUAUGAAGUAUGGCUUAUCUGAGGACAGCUUCUCCGAGGACGAAUAUAGAGUAGUUCGUCCCCCAGUCCGGUUCGGCGAGUGAGAGGGGAUUAAUGGGUAUAAUGGACAUCACUUAGCUAAGCUGGAAACUCUUGUAUAAGUUUGGUUCUUUGCUUUGUUGAAUUUCCUUUAAUACUGUGCCUUGUAUCACAUUGGUUAUUAUUUUUAAUUGUUGGUGACAACAAUAACAAACUGGGGGGGGGGGUGUGUGAGGGUAUAUUUAAGACAGCAUUGCGCCCUCAGAGUGACCACAUCAAAUUACAUUAAGAUUAGGGACAAAGGCAGUGAUAGUCAAGCCAUCCAUCCGUAAACAUCGAUGUGCUAUAAUCCUCCGAUGUCACUCACCCACCGUUACAUUUAUAUUCAUAAAACUACCGUAACUAUAUGGGGUUUGAGCCGCUAUUUUAAUCUCACUAUUGUGGAAAGACUGUGCUGUUAACUUAACAUAUAUCUUUUAAUUUGAAUCUUUCUAAUUUUUAUCGUAAA